CACGGGGGUUGCAAGCGUUGUCCGGAAUUACUAGGCGUAAAGUGCAGGUAGGCGGAUAGAUAAGUUUAAGGUUAAAGGCUACGGCUUACCCGUAGUAAGGCGUUAGAUACUGUUUAUCUGGAAUGCGGUUGAGGGAGACAGAAUUCCUGGUGUAGCGGUGGAAUGCGCAGAGAUCAGGAGGAAUACCGAAGGCGAAGGCAGUCUUCUAAGCCGAUAUUGACGCUAAACUGCGAAGGUGUGGGGAUCAAACAGGAUUAGAUACCCUGGUAGUCCACACAGUAAACGAUAAUCACUAGGUGUUGGGUUCGUAUAGGACUCGGUGCCGGAGCUAACGCACUAAGUAGACCGCCUGGGGAGUACGGUCGCAAGGUUAAA
rnacentral:rRNA from 1 species